rnacentral:rRNA from 1 species
GACGAACGCUGGCGGCGUGCUUAACACAUGCAAGUCGAACGGAAAGGCCCCCUUGUGGGGUACUCGAGUGGCGAACGGGUGAGUAACACGUGAGUAACCUACCCUUGACUUUGGGAUAGCUUCAGGAAACUGGGGCUAAUACCGGAUAGGAGCUCCUGCUGCAUGGUGGAGGUUGGAAAGUUUCGGCGGUUGGGGAUGGACUCGCGGCUUAUCAGCUUGUUGGUGGGGUAGUGGCUCACCAAGGCUUUGACGGGUAGCCGGCCUGAGAGGGUGACCGGCCACAUUGGGACUGAGAUACGGCCCAGACUCCUACGGGAGGCAGCAGUGGGGAAUAUUGCACAAUGGGCGGAAGCCUGAUGCAGCAACGCCGCGUGCGGGAUGACGGCCUUCGGGUUGUAAACCGCUUUCGCCUGUGACGAAGCGUGAGUGACGGUAAUGGGUAAAGAAGCACCGGCUAACUACGUG